GAUGAAGAACGUAGCGAAAUGCGAUACUUGGUGUGAAUUGCAGAAUCCCGUGAACCAUCGAGUCUUUGAACGCAAGUUGCGCCCGAAGCCAUUAGGCCGAGGGCACGCCUGCCUGGGCGUCACACGUCGUUGCCCCCCCAUCUACUCCUUCGGGAUUGCGGGGGGCGGAUGAUGGCCUCCCGUGCGCCUCGUCGCGCGGUUGGCAUAAAUGCCAAGUCCUCGGCGACGCACGCCACGACAAUCGGUGGUUGCGAAACCUCGGUUGCCCGUCGUGUGCGGUCGUCGCGCAUCGAGGGCUCGAAAAAAUUGCCGGGCUCCGGUUCGGCUUUCAACGCGACCCCAGGUCAGGCGGGGUUACCCGCUGAAUUUAAGCAUAUCAAUAAGCGGAGGA
rnacentral:misc_RNA from 1 species